GGGCCUGUAGCUCAGCGGCAGAGCAUUCGAAUGGCAUUCGAAGGGUCAGGGGUUCAAAUCCCCUCAGGUCCA
rnacentral:tRNA from 2 species